UACGGGGGGGGCAAGCGUUGUUCGGAAUUACUGGGCGUAAAGGGCUCGUAGGUGGCCAACUAAGUCAGACGUGAAAUCCCUCGGCUUAACCGGGGAACUGCGUCUGAUACUGGAUGGCUUGAGUUUGGGAGAGGGAUGCGGAAUUCCAGGUGUAGCGGUGAAAUGCGUAGAUAUCUGGAGGAACACCGGUGGCGAAGGCGGCCUUCUGGACGGAUACUGACGCUGAGACGCGAAAGCGUGGGGAGCAAACAGG
rnacentral:rRNA from 1 species